GCCGAGGCCGUCCCCGGGAGCCUUCCGCGAGCCCGCGCUCCCUCCGUCGAGGCGCGCGCCGCGCUCCCGUUGCCGCCGGUGCUCCCCGCCCGGGCAGACGCCUGGCCGCGCCGCCCACCGGCCGGGACCGAAAUGGGCCUCGCCGCGCGGGUGUCGCCUCCGGCCACCGAGGCCGGUGGUGGCGCCCGUGCGCCAGGCGCCCGGCGUGGGACGCCGGCGCCGUGUGCGGGAGAGCCCUGGCCGUGGAGGUGGGUGGUGGGGCCGAGCGCGUCUCUCGGCGGGCCUCGGCCCUCGCCGCCGUCGGCCUUCUCCCGAGCCCUUCCCCGUCGUCGCCUGUUCUGGCUGCCCGACCGGGGCCCCGCCCCGAGCGCGACUCGCUUCCGGGGCCGCUGCGGCCUCCUCCGUGUCCGCCGCCGCUGCCCGCGCGACGGCGACGUUGCGUGCGGGCGGGGGACCGUCCCCCGCGGCGCCCCGUUCUGGCGCGCGCGUGUCUGUCGCAGCGCGGGUCGGGUCCCGGGCAGCCGUCGUGACCGGCCGCCGCGCGCCGCGCCACCCCUGGGGGCGGGGGUCGGGCCUCGGUCCGGCUCUCGGCCCGCGGGGGCGUGCGCGGGCAGUCCGGCGGCGGUGUCGACGCGACUGCCUGGUGCCCCGGCCCCGCUCACGCGCCGUCAAUCGGGGCCGCCGCGAGGGAGGUCAAGAGAAACCUUUUCCAAUGUCUUCCUCAGGAGGAGACUAGAAGUUAGAGAAAAGUAUCCUUUCGAGAGCGAGAAAAACCAAUUCUGAUUUUGCAUCAGCUUCCCUCCGAUCUUGAAACUCAUUGACUUGAUUCCAUUCUGUCGAUGGAAAUAAUCCGGAACCAAUCUAUCCGUGAAAAUCGGGGUGAGUUUAUUCUGACCUAAGAUGUAAGGACUGUGGCCCGGGGCCUUUCUUCCUGAAGGAAGAAAGGGCGCCCGGGAAGUGGGGUGUACAGAGUGCUUCUAGACCCCCAGAGAGGACGUUUCACAUAGGAUCGAAAGGUCCCUUGGACGAUAGUCGCGACACUGCUCUGUCAGCACAGCGAUCGACAGACACCGCUGGGUGGCAGGUCUGUUGUCUGGGCCUGGGUGGUCACAGGUGAGCCGGAUGGUCAAAGGUGAGCGCAAU
rnacentral:lncRNA from 1 species